rnacentral:rRNA from 1 species
AUUGAACGCUGGCGGCAGGCCUAACACAUGCAAGUCGAGCGAGCGGCGGGCGGGGGAGGAAUGUAUGGGGACUGCCCGAUAGAGGGGGAUAACUACUGGAAACGGUAGCUAAUACCGCAUACUAUCGGAUAACCCAUAUGGGAUUAGCUAGUAGGUGAGGUAAUGGCUCACCUAGGCGACGAUCCCUAGCUGGCCUGAGAGGAUGAUCAGCCACACUGGGACUGAGACACGGCCCAGACUCCUACGGAGGCAGCAGUGGGGAAUAUUGCACAAUGGGCGCAAGCCUGAUCCAGCCAUGCCGCGUGUAUGAAGAAGGCUCUAGGGUUGUAAAGUACUUUCAGUAGGGAGGCGUUACCGACAGAAGAAGCAACGGCUAACUCCGUGCCAGCCGCCGCGGUAAUAC